AAGGGAGCUUGCUCCCGGAUGUUAGCGGCGGACGGGUGAGUAACACGUGGGUAACCUGCCUGUAAGACUGGGAUAACUCCGGGAAACCGGAGCUAAUACCGGAUAGUUCCUUGAACCGCAUGGUUCAAGGAUGAAAGACGGUUUCGGCUGUCACUUACAGAUGGACCCGCGGCGCAUUAGCUAGUUGGUGGGGUAAUGGCUCACCAAGGCGACGAUGCGUACCCGACCUGAGAGGGUGAUCGGCCACACUGGGACUGAGACACGGCCCAGACUCCUACGGGAGGCAGCAGUAGGGAAUCUUCCGCAAUGGACGAAAGUCUGACGGAGCAACGCCGCGUGAGUGAUGAAGGUUUUCGGAUCGUAAAGCUCUGUUGUUAGGGAAGAACAAGUGCGAGAGUAACUGCUCGCACCUUGACGGUACCUAACCAGAAAGCCACGGCUAACUACGUGCCAGCAGCCGCGGUAAUACGUAGGUGGCAAGCGUUGUCCGGAAUUAUUGGGCGUAAAGGGCUCGCAGGCGGUUUCUUAAGUCUGAUGUGAAAGCCCCCGGCUCAACCGGGGAGGGUCAUUGGAAACUGGGAAACUUGAGUGCAGAAGAGGAGAGUGGAAUUCCACGUGUAGCGGUGAAAUGCGUAGAGAUGUGGAGGAACACCAGUGGCGAAGGCGACUCUCUGGUCUGUAACUGACGCUGAGGAGCGAAAGCGUGGGGAGCGAACAGGAUUAGAUACCCUGGUAGUCCACGCCGUA
rnacentral:rRNA from 1 species